GACGAACGCUGGCGGCGUGCUUAACACAUGCAAGUCGAGCGACUGCGAUUCUUUUCGGAGGGUGUAUGGAGCGGCGAACGGGUGAGUAACACGUGAGUAAUCUGCCUUUGGCUUGGGAAUAACUUCGGGAAAUCGGGGCUAAUGCCUGAUGUUUACUGUCUGCUGCAUGGUGGGUGGUGGAAAGAUUUUUUGGCCAGGGAUGAGCUCGCGGUCUAUCAGCUUGNGGUGGGGUAAUGGCUUACCAAGGCUUUGACGGGUAGCCGGCCUGAGAGGGUGUUCGGCCACACUGGGACUGAGACACGGCCCAGACUCCUACGGGAGGCAGCAGUGGGGAAUAUUGCGCAAUGGGCGUAAGCCUGACGCAGCGACGCCGCGUGGGGGAUGAAGGCCU
rnacentral:rRNA from 1 species